CACCACAGGACAUCAGGAGGCUGGGCAGCCCUGUCCAAACACAAACACGCUGGCAGUGGUGUCCCUACCUACACAGAUGUGAACACAAAGGAGAUUUUUCAGCUAAUAAGAUCCUCUGGUGUUUGUAGCACUAAGCAGGGGACAACUUCAGGAGAGGGCUCUGCUGGCAUCCCCAAACUCGCACUUGGAAUCAUAAUGGUGCUAUGAGACGAGCGAACACAGUAAGCUGGGGAGAUGAGUGAUUGCAUCUGAUGUUGGAGGACUAGAUCCUGCAGGAAGGUUAGCGGGGAACAUCCCCACGGUCACUGUUUGUUUGUUUACCUAACUUCAAAAUUCUCUCUGGAGCUGCUUAGACAAAGCCUGACUUAUCUUCCCAAAGAUGAAACACUGGGUAAAAGUGGUCUGCUGGAGUGCAUAGGAAUACUUGGGUCAGAAGGAAGUGAGACCCACACCUGUUGAGUACUUGAGAGUCACAA
rnacentral:lncRNA from 10 species